AGCAGCGUGGCUCAGUGGAAAGAGCACGGGCUUGGGAGCCAGAAGUCACGGGUUUGAAUCCCGGCUCUGCUA
rnacentral:tRNA from 1 species